CCUUAAAUGACAUUUCAACGAAAAUUUAGAUCAACUAUAUAUUAUUUAAUCAUAGCUGUCUAUUAAAACAUUGUCAUUAAAUAUGACGAAAAAGUUUUGGUAUUUCGUCUCAAACUAUAUAUACUAGACUUAAACCAGAGUGUGAGGCAAGAUUAAUUGUGUUGUCGAGUAUUUUUCGAGUCUCGAAAACUAAUAAAUAAAUAAGACCCUCCAGUCACCGCACGUGAUGAGUUUUGGAUCGCAUCCAAGCUGACAAAUACCCACCUACUAUAUCUUUCUUCGUUCUUAAUAAUAUAUCAGAAACUAUUCAGCUAUAUACAUACAUAUACAUUCAUGGUGGCACGAGAUUAUAUUAUAUUGAUUUUCUAUAUUAAUAUAUUUCCUAAUUUAAUAAUAUUAAUGUCAUUAAAUAAUGAGGAAGGUUUUUAUAGUAAAAUAAUAUUUAAUAACCGUUUGUAAUUUGUUUUUAACGGAAUUGACAUGAAACAAUGUACAACAUGAUUUCAUAAAACUUAUAUUUUUUUAAUUUUUAUUACUAUGAUUAAAAAUAAAGAAAUAAUAAAAAAAAAAAAAAAAAAAGAGCUGUUACUGGGAAUGGGUGCUGCCACUGUUGUAAGUGGGUAGUAGGAAAGAUGGGAUACAUAUAUAGUUGUUAAUUUAUGCCUGUAACCAACGAUAAAUCGUUGAUAACGAAAAACGAUUCUGAGCGGAGCUCGAUUGAUAGUAUUACCUUUUCAACAAUAUACAUGUAAUAUUAUAGUUAAAUAAAUAUAUAUAUUGAAACAAUUCGUAUGGUCCAGUAACUAGAUUUGUUCCACAUAAACGAUUUUCGUC